rnacentral:rRNA from 1 species
GUAGGGGAGCAAGCGUUGUUCGGAAUCAUUGGGCGUAAAGAGCGCGUAGGGUGGUUUGGUAAGUCUGUUGUGAAAUCCCAUAGCUCAACUGUGGAACUGCGACGGAAACUGCCAGACUUGAGUGCGGGAGAGGAAAGUGGAAUUCCCAGUGUAGAGGUGAAAUUCGUAGAUACUGGGAGGAACACCGGUGGCGAAGGCGGCUUUCUGGACCGCAACUGACGCUGAGGCGCGAAAGCUAGGGGAGCAAACGGGAUUAGAUACCCCGGUAGUCCUAGCCGUAAACGAUGGGCACUAGGUGUGGGGGGUAUCGACCCCUUCUGUGCCGUAGCUAACGCAUUAAGUGCCCCGCCUGGGGAGUACGGUCGCAAAGACUAA